CCUACGGGGGGCUGCAGUGGGGAAUAUUGCACAAUGGGCGCAAGCCUGAUGCAGCCAUGCCGCGUGUAUGAAGAAGGCCUCCGGGUUGUAAAGUACUUUCAGUCGUGAGGAAGGUGUUAAGGUGAAUAACCUUAGCAAUUGACGUUAGCGACAGAAGAAGCACCGGCUAACUCCGUGCCAGCAGCCGCGGUAGUACGGAGGGUGCGAGCGUUAAUCGGAAUUAACGGGCGAGAGGGGCACGGAGGCGGUGGGUUGAGAUGGGUGUGAGAGCCCCGGGCUGAACCUGGGUAUGGGAUUCAGGACUAGGGAGGUGGAUUGUUAGAGAGGGGGGUAAAAUUGCGUGCGUCGCGGUGAAAUGCGUUGGGAGGGGGAGGAAUUCCGGUGGCGAAGGCGGCCCGCUGGACAGAGACUGACGCUGGCGUGCGUGAGCGUGGGGAGCAAACAAGAUUAGAUCCCCUAGUAGUC
rnacentral:rRNA from 1 species